UACAGAGACUGCAAGCGUUAUUCGGAUUCACUGGGCGUAAAGGGUGCGCAGGCGGCUGGGUGUGUCAGAUGUGAAAUCCCGAGGCUUAACCUCGGAACUGCGUCUGAAACUACUCGACUAGAGUACUGGAGAGGGUAACGGAAUUCACGGUGUAGCAGUGAAAUGCGUAGAUAUCGUGAGGAACACCAGAGGCGAAGGCGGUUACCUGGACAGUUACUGACGCUCAGGCACGAAAGCAUGGGGAGCAAAAGGG
rnacentral:rRNA from 1 species